GGCGCUGUAGUGUAGCGGUUAUCACUCGAGAUUCUGAUGCGUCAAUUUCUCGUAACCCAAGUUCGAUUCUUGGCAGUGCCU